rnacentral:lncRNA from 1 species
GAGUCCCACAUCACAUGUUAGAUGUCCUCUGACAUGUGUGCGUGCUCCCAGCCAUAUAGCAUACACAAUAAACAGUGUGUGAACCUUAAAGACACUUAUAUACACGUUAUACCACUUGUUAUACCACUUCAUGGGAGUGCCAUGGCAAGCCUAGAUGUGUUCUCACUGUUUGUUGUUACUGUUUUCAAAGUGUCUUUCUUAUUUAUUUAUAAUUGUCAUACAAAGUACUGGCUUUUAUGGCAUUUUCACUCAUAUGUGCUAGUAUUCUUUGUUCUUAUUCAACCUUACUACAGGCCCUACCCCCAUUUCUUUUUAAAUGGAGUUGUUUUGAAGUCAGUCAAGAGACUCUGAGCUAGGGGUCAUGCUGAUCGAUCUCUCCUGCUGGAGAGCUCAGUAGGAGGAGACAGUCUGCCAACAGAGAGGACACAGAGGCACAGCCGGUUCGACCUCCUGGACACCACCUAUUUCCUGAUACCUAUUCAUAUCUCUGCACCUUAAAUAAAUGUGGAACUGCAGGUGAGCCAGGUGUUAGCAACCCAAUUAAAGAGCUGAGCUCUUGCAAGAACAAGCAAUCGUGUUUAUUUUUGUCUUUCCUCUUACCCCAUUUCUUGACCCAGACUUCAUGUGGCUUGCUCUUCAUUAGCAGACUUGAGAUGGCUCAACCCUGAAUCCUAAAUCUCACUUUCACCAUACUCAGGGUAACAGUGUGUUACACAAUGUCCUCAGAAGCUCCAUGCCAUUUGCACAGAAGCGUGAGACUCUGGAGGCCUCUAAGCUCUCUUACAAGCAGGGCUGUUUCGGAAGGUCAUUUGGCCACUUGCAAAGAUGAGAAAUCCGCCUUUCCAAGGCUGACGGAGUCUGUGCCUUACUGAGAAACAACCAAAAAAAAAAAAA